rnacentral:lncRNA from 1 species
UAAACCACAAAUAUAUGUAGACAUUUACUGCUUGAUUGGAUUCUGAAAGAUUAACUUAGCAUAUGAGCUGCAAGUUCAGUUAGAUGACUCAAGUGGUUAACAUUUGUCCCUGAUUUAUUGUUCUCCAGGGACAAAGGGAAUUGAAAUUUGACAGACAGGGUACACUGUACCCACUUAACUAGCAGAACAUUAAUUCCCAGAAGUCAGAACAUAUGCAUUACAAGCAAUACAUCUUUUCAUUUUGUUUUGUUUUUAAGCUGUAUACUGCUUAAAAUAGAACAAACGAUAUCUGAAUGCCAAAACAAUUCCUGUAGACUGAACUGGUGCACAGGAAAAGGAAAUGUGUCUGUCCAAGAAGCACUUAAAGGAAGGCUUAAUGCAUAUGAAUGCUUUCACAAUACUUCAUUUCUGUUUUGCCUGGAAGGUGGAGUGUUUGCUUUCCCAACUACUUUACAACCAAAUAAAAUACUGACUGGAAACCCCCUGCAUCCACUAUGAAGCCCCCAAGGAAAGACCUGAGGAACUAUUAUACAACAUUAAGAAUUCUUACAUCGACUUGGCUGGAAGACUGAACUUGGAAUAUUUUGAGUUAUUAUGAAAACAAUAACAUUCAAGAUGAGCAGGCUCUGACAGUGUAUUUGGCUUGCAUAACAUUAUGUUAUGAUGGAAGUGAAAUGAAUGGAUAAACAGCAAAUUUGGAUUUCUUCAGGAAAUGCUUGUGAUUUUUUCAUUAGAAUUUAGUAUACUACUACUUUUACUUAUAUGAUUUUAUAUAUGUAUAUUAAUACAAAAAGUCUUCUCUAUCCUGUUUUUAAUUCUAACUACUUAUUAAUAUAUUCAUCCUUUCCAGUAGAAUGUAAAAACAUCUCCUGUUGAUGCUAGAUGAUCCUACAUUAAAAAAAAUGCUUCAGCUAAGCAAUACAAAGACUUAGUGUUGUAAGGAACUUUUUACAUUUGGGUUUUCCUCUGUAUCAGCAACUAUUUAUCCAAUGUUUCCAUCUACGAGCCCUCAGUUAGCUUCUAAAUUUAAUAAUAAUAAUAAUAAUAAUAAUAAUAAUAAUAAUAAUAAUAAUAAUAAUAAUAAUAAAUCAGAUUUGUAUUUCUGUCA